UUAUGAGUAGGAUCGUAUCCAACUUGGUGUCUAUGCAUUUUGACGUUGUGACCCUGACAGAAAUUGUGAGGACAUCUGGUGGCUGUCUCAAUGGACAGCCUAAGUCUGACGUCAGAAAUGUCACAAAAUUGGGAGGAGCUUAUAUACAAGAAUCUACAGGUCGAGCAAGUCUCGUAAAUUUCACGAUUGCGAGCCACGCUUCACGCAACCGUGUUUGCGUACUUGUGUUUCGAGUUGCGUGGUCGUGCGGAGUUAUAUUUACCAAAUUUAAAUGUAAUCGUUUCUACUGAUAAUAAUAUACUAUUCUCAAUAUGGCUACUGGGUGUAAAAGAUAAAUCGUUAUUCUAUCUGUUCUUCAUGAGUUUUAGAUAAUUUUAGUUGUAUUUCUUUGUAAUUUUGUGUUGUACAAAGAUUAAUUUAACAUUUUCUCUGGAAGUAUUAAUUUAGAAAGAUAAUAUGCUUCAUUGGUGUUGUGUUUUGAAGUGUGAAAUGCAAAGUAAUUGUGAUAAAGUCAAGAUAAAGUUCACUUUUAAACUGAACUAAAUAAGGUAUCUGAGAGACAACAAUGGUUAAAUGCAAUACAAUGUACAGGUUUUACUAGCGAAAUGAAAAUUUUCCUGUCCUGUCUGCUGUAAUCAUUUUAUAUCUGGUAAGUUACAAUUACAACAGUAACGAUUUUUGAAGAUGUUAACAUUUUAAUCUUAUAGGAAAAUAGGAAAACCAGCCGACUUAAUCGAUAAUAACAAUCUCCAGAUUGGGUUCCUUCAAUAAAUAUGGGCUAUAAACACAAUGAAAUAAGUUCCCCAAAAUCUAAAAUGGAGUGCUAUCAAAGGAGAAUUAAAGGAAAAAAUAUUCAUAUUGAAAUUAUUUAUAAGGCACUGGACUGUCUUAAAUUCUACAAUAAUACUAGAAUCAGCUGAGAGAAGUGGUCUACAAAAAACCAGGAAGGAAACGGAAUAUGUGGCUACGAAAGGCAAAAGAAAGGUUUACAAAGCAAAUGUGACACAUUUUUUUGAAAUAUUUAGGAAUAUCAGUAAAUUGCAUUAAAAAAUGUAUGAAAAGAUUUUGUUCAAUAAAAAUGUUUAUAUUUA